rnacentral:rRNA from 1 species
UGGGGAAUAUUGGACAAUGGGGGCAACCCUGAUCCAGCAACGCCGCGUGGAGGACGAAGGUCUUCGGAUUGUAAACUCCUGUCAGAGGGGACGAAGGCUCCUGGGCGAAUAGCCCGGUGAGCUUGACGGUACUCUCAGAGGAAGCCCCGGCUAACUCUGUGCCAGCAGCCGCGGUAAUACAGAGGGGGCUAGCGUUAUUCGGAAUUAUUGGGCGUAAAGGGCGCGUAGGCGGCCUGAUGUGUCCACGGUGAAAUCCCUCGGCUCAACCGAGGAAUGGCCGUGGAAACUGUCGGGCUCGAGGCCGGGAGAGGGUGGUGGAAUUCCCAGUGUAGCGGUGAAAUGCGUAGAUAUUGGGAGGAACACCAGUGGCGAAGGCGGCCACCUGGACCGGUUCUGACGCUGAGGCGCGAAAGCGUGGGGAGCAAACAGG